rfam:Rachicladosporium antarcticum strain CCFEE 5527 scaffold_48, whole genome shotgun sequence.
GCACCUUUGCCAACACUCUGGCCCCUACCAACUCCCCCAUGGUUGUGGCCUAUUUUAGUUGCAAAGGAGAUUGACUGUCCUCUUACUCACCGCGGCAGCUUUACUUUGUGGCUGCAGUGGUCCAUAGAUUCGGCCCACAU